rnacentral:rRNA from 1 species
GACGUAGGGAGCGAGCGUUGUCCGGAUUCAUUGGGCGUAAAGAGCGCGCAGGCGGUUUGGUAAGUCGGAUGUGAAAACCCGGGGCUCAACCCCGGGCGUGCAUCUCGAUACUGCCCGACUAGAGGUAGGUAGGGGAGAUCGGAAUUCCUGGUGUAGCGGUGAAAUGCGCAGAUAUCAGGAGGAACACCGGUGGCGAAGGCGGAUCUCUGGGCCGUACCUGACGCUGAGGCGCGAAAGCUAGGGGAGCGAACAGG